rnacentral:rRNA from 1 species
ACGGGUGAGUAAUGCCUAGGAAUCUGCCUAGUAGUGGGGGACAACGUUUCGAAAGGAACGCUAAUACCGCAUACGUCCUACGGGAGAAAGUGGGGGAUCUUCGGACCUCACGCUAUUAGAUGAGCCUAGGUCGGAUUAGCUAGUUGGUAGGGUAAAGGCCUACCAAGGCGACGAUCCGUAACUGGUCUGAGAGGAUGAUCAGUCACACUGGAACUGAGACACGGUCCAGACUCCUACGGGAGGCAGCAGUGGGGAAUAUUGGACAAUGGGCGAAAGCCUGAUCCAGCCAUGCCGCGUGUGUGAAGAAGGCCUUCGGGUCGUAAAGCACUUUAAGUUGGGAGGAAGGGCUUACAGCGAAUACCUGUGAGUUUUGACGUUACCGACAGAAUAAGCACCGGCUAACUUCGUGCCAGCAGCCGCGGUAAUACGAAGGGUGCAAGCGUUAAUCGGAAUUACUGGGCGUAAAGCGGGCGUAGGUGGCUUGAUAAGUUGGAUGUGAAAUCCCCGGGCUCAACCUGGGAACUGCAUCCAAAACUGUCUGGCUAGAGUGUGGUAGAGGGUAGUGGAAUUUCCAGUGUAGCGGUGA